rnacentral:rRNA from 1 species
UACGGAAGGCAGCAGUGGGGAAUAUUGCACAAUGGGCGCAAGCCUGAUGCAGCCAUGCCGCGUGUAUGAAGAAGGCCUUCGGGUUGUAAAGUACUUUCAGUCGUGAGGAAGGUGUUAAGGUUAAUAACCUUAGCAAUUGACGUUAGCGACAGAAGAAGCACCGGCUAACUCCGUGCCAGCAGCCGCGGUAAUACGGAGGGUGCGAGCGUUAAUCGGAAUUACUGGGCGUAAAGGGCACGCAGGCGGUUAAUAAGUUGGAUGUGAAAUCCCCGGGCUUAACCUGGGAAUGGCAUUCAAGACUGGUUAGCUAGAGUCUUGUAGAGGGGGUAGAAUUCCAUGUGUAGCGGUGAAAUGCGUAGAGAUGUGGAGGAAUACCGGUGGCGAAGGCGGCCCCUGGACAAGACUGACGCUCAUGUGCGAAAGCGUGGGGAGCAAACAGGAUUAGAUACC